rnacentral:rRNA from 1 species
GCAGCCGCGGUAAUUCCAGCUCCAAUAGCGUAUAUUAAAGUUGUUGCAGUUAAAAAGCUCGUAGUUGAAUUUUAGGCCUGACCGGGCGGUCCGUCUCUGGCGAGUACUGUCCUGUUGUCGGGUCUAUCCUUCUGGUGAGCCGGUAUGUCCUUAAUUGGGUGUGUCGGGGAACCAGGACCAUUACCUUGAAAAAAUUAGAGUGUUUAAAGCGGGCUUUUGCUUGAAUAGAUUAGCAUGGAAUAAUAGAAUAGGACGUUGGUUCUAUUUUGUUGGUCUAGGACCACCGUAAUGAUUAAUAGGGAUAGUUGGG